rnacentral:lncRNA from 1 species
GCACUGAUUAGCAAGAGACACUAGAGAUUAAAAUGCUAAACAAAAUAACAAAGAUUAAUUAGCAAUGGCAUGAAUCAACUAACGACCCAAAAGGAGGUGCUCACUGUGUUGGACGUUCGCAUGGUCUGCUAGUGGAUGUUUUCUUACGGUCUGGUGCUCCUGGUGACCUGCGCUGGCCUACUUGGCCUGGUGGCCGGCCUGAGCAGCAAGCAGGCUUGAAUUGGGCCGCGUGCUGCUGCCACCUCGCCCGGGCCUGCUUGGCAUACGCUGGGCCUCAAGCACCUGAGCACAGCUAGGCCACCUUUCACACGCGACCUGGACCGCUGACCAGGCUGCUCGCUCCACGCACGUGAGUGCCUACUGCCUGCCCCUUCCCGGUGGAACGAUUCCUGCGAAUGAAAAGAGACGAACAGAACAAGAACACAAGAAGAACAAGAAGAACAGCCGAGACUUCAAAUCAUAAGAUCUCCUCCCAUACUUCACAGAUCUAGAUGAAACUUGAGACAAGGAUGCAAUACCCCAAGGGCAAAUAGAUCUAUAAAGCAAAUCCUGAAAAAUUCAAGUAUACAUCACUAAUCUUGGAGAAAACCGAAACCCUAACUCAAGAACACAAUUUGGAAGAAAUUCGAAAUCCAAGCCGGAUCUGCGAGAGAUUUAGAAGGGGAUCAUAUCAAAGAUGCUCUCCAAGGUUUUAGCAACAUUUCCCUUCAACCAAUCUCACGAGAUUCGGGCUCAAACGUGAUGAACGAAAAUUCCCCAAAAAAAGUUCCGAAAAUAGGGAAAAAGAAAAACACUCGGGAAUCAAAGAUUUAGCACAAUUUGAGAUAACAAAUAAAGCUAAAUCACGAGAACAUCUUCUAUACAAGAUGAGGACUAGCCUCCUCCCUUCAUCCACCCACUAAAGAUGAAGAAAUCAAGAGAAAAGAGUAAUCACUCUCUAAUCUCCCUCUCUCCUCUCACUUUAAGCAUAUGACUAGCCUCUAAGCCAAAAGAUAAUGAGUUGC